CAAGUCGAGGGGCAGCAUGGUCUUAGCUUGCUAAGGCUGAUGGCGACCGGCGCACGGGUGAGUAACACGUAUCCAACCUGCCGUCUACUCUUGGCCAGCCUUCUGAAAGGAAGAUUAAUCCAGGAUGGCAUCAUGAGUUCACAUGUCCGCAUGAUUAAAGGUAUUUUCCGGUAGACGAUGGGGAUGCGUUCCAUUAGAUAGUAGGCGGGGUAACGGCCCACCUAGUCAACGAUGGAUAGGGGUUCUGAGAGGAAGGUCCCCCACAUUGGAACUGAGACACGGUCCAAACUCCUACGGGAGGCAGCAGUGAGGAAUAUUGGUCAAUGGGCGAUGGCCUGAACCAGCCAAGUAGCGUGAAGGAUGACUGCCCUAUGGGUUGUAAACUUCUUUUAUAAAGGAAUAAAGUCGGGUAUGCAUACCCGUUUGCAUGUACUUUAUGAAUAAGGAUCGGCUAACUCCGUGCCAGCAGCCGCGGUAAUACGGAGGAUCCGAGCGUUAUCCGGAUUUAUUGGGUUUAAAGGGAGCGUAGAUGGAUGUUUAAGUCAGUUGUGAAAGUUUGCGGCUCAACCGUAAAAUUGCAGUUGAUACUGGAUGUCUUGAGUGCAGUUGAGGCAGGCGGAAUUCGUGGUGUAGCGGUGAAAUGCUUAGAUAUCACGAAGAACUCCGAUUGCGAAGGCAGCCUGCUAAGCUGCAACUGACAUUGAGGCUCGAAAGUGUGGG
rnacentral:rRNA from 1 species